CGCCGCUCUUUCUCCUCUGCUGCCGCCGCCGUCUCCCGGCAGCCGCCGCCGCCGCCGCUGUCCGAACUUGAAGUUGCCGGCGCGCCCGUUGCAGCCGCCGCCGCCGCCGCGGAGGUCGCCGUGGCCGCCGGGGGCCCCUUCUCGGCGCUCUUGUCCCCGGGGUAGUCGGAGGAGGCGAGGUUUUCCGGGGUGCCGUAGGCUGUCUCGAAAAACUGGUCGAAAGCCUGUGGCAGGACGCCGUUCCUGCCCACGGUGCUAUAGAAAUUGGACGAGACUGCGGGGGUGGGGUGGUGGUAGACGUUGGCCGAGCUCUUGGCCAGCACGUCGCCAGGCACGCCGGCCGCGCUGGGCGCCUGCAGGCAGUCUCUGUGCACGAGCUCCUCCGCGGAGUAGCAGUGGGCCAGAUUGCCGCGGGGGUGCCAUUUAGUGGCGGGCUCAAUGGCGUACUCUCUGAAGGUCACUUCGCGCACGGGUUGGACCUGGGGCAGGUUGGAGGAGUAGGAGUAUGUCAUUGGGCGCGAAGACGGGGUCUGGGGCAGAAAAGAAGGGAGGCUGGAGAAAUCUGGACCCGAGACGUAUGACUCGGCAGAGACAGAGGCACAGGGGCUGCCCUGCUGCUCACCGGUCCACCCAUCUGCCUGGUCUUCUGGAGCUGAGGACUCGGGAAACCAUGCAAUUGAGGCAAGCCUUGGGCUGCUUUAGAGGCGCUGACAUCCGAGGAGACUUCUCCUGGGAGGUCCAACAGCCGAGCUUAGCCCACCGGGCUCUGGGAAAGACCCGACUGAGGCUAAAGCCGCCCCGGAAGGCCAAGUCCGAGUUCCAUUUCUUGAAGAGGCCGGCGCGCGUAAGGCUGUGACAUUGGCCCUGGCGACUGGCUUCCCAGGAGCUGUUCUUUCUCAGGAGCUCCACAGCGCGGGCCAUCUCCAGAAAACUGUCUUCAGAGUGUAUUUCCUUUUAUCGUCAACCCAGAGCCCCACCGCGGCUAAUGCAAGAGGCCAAAAAAUGUUUGGAGGAAGAAAAACAAAGGCAGGAAGUGGCGGCGGCCUGACGGUGCGUGUGUGUCUGCAGAGAAGGGAGGGAGCCGGCUCAGUCUCUUCUUGUUUUUCCAAACUUCAAGGUCCAGGCAGCCCUCUGCAGGGCCGGGCCCCAUUGCUCCCCGCGCGGCAUUGGAGGUGGCCGCCCGGAGAGGAGAAGGCCAACGCCUGCGCCAGGCUUGUCAGGCGGAAACGGCUAACAAGGAGAUUUGGUCAGCAAAACAGACCCAGCCUUUCCGAGGCUUCGUCUGACUUGGCCCGAAAGGUUGGGGAGGGGGGGCUUGCGCAGAGCCUCAGGGACCCUCCUCUCUGGGGACUACCAUCCCUGAGCCUUACGCUUCUUUCCACAGCCUUUGCAGGCGGAAUAUCGGAAUAAAGUGGGUCCAGGCGCCUCUGC
ensembl:lncRNA HOXA11-AS HOXA11 antisense RNA